UACGGAGGGUGCGAGCGUUAAUCGGAAUUACUGGGCGUAAAGCGCACGCAGGCGGUUUGUUAANCUAGAUGUGAAAGCCCCGGGCUCAACCUGGGAUGGUCAUUUAGAACUGGCAGACUAGAGUCUUGGAGAGGGGAGUGGAAUUCCAGGUGUAGCGGUGAAAUGCGUAGAUAUCUGGAGGAACAUCAGUGGCGAAGGCGACUCCCUGGCCAAAGACUGACGCUCAUGUGCGAAAGUGUGGGUAGCGAACAGC
rnacentral:rRNA from 1 species